rnacentral:rRNA from 1 species
GGAGGUAGUGACAAUAAAUCACAAUGCGGAACAAUGUUUUGCAAUUGGAUUGAGAACAACGUACAAACCUUAUCGAUAAACAAUUGGAGGGCAAGUCUGGUGCCAGCAGCCGCGGUAAUUCCAGCUCCAAUAGCGUAUAUUAACGUUGUUGCAGUUAAAAAGCUCGUAGUUGAAAUGAAGGGUAGUUGUGUAAUGAAUACAUUCGUGUAUUUUGUUAUUCUACUACCCUCCUUCUAAAUUCGAUAUAUGAGUAUUAAUUUACUUGUAUAUGGUUUUAGACUUUUACUGUGAGAAAAUUAGAGUGUUCAAAGCAGGCAUUUGCUUGAAUAUAUUAGCAUGGAAUAAUCAUGUAUGAUUUUCAUGAUGUAUUUGAUUGGUUUGGUUCAUGAGAAUAAGAUUAAAAGGGACAGUUGGGGGUAUUCAUAUUCAAUAGUCAGAGGUGAAAUUCUCGGAUUUAUGGAAGAUGAACAAGUGC